rnacentral:rRNA from 1 species
UAAGUCACUUUGUCUUUAUGGCAAAUGUGAGAUGCAGUGUAUGGAAUGUUCAAUUUCUAGUAUGAGAAAUUAACGAUUUAAGUCCUUCUUAAAUGAGGCCAUUUACCCAUAGAGGGUGCCAGGCCCGUAUAACGUUAAUGAUUACUAGAGAACAUUUCCAAAGAGUCGUGUUGCUUGAUAGUGCAGCACUAAGUGGGUGGUAAACUCCAUCUAAAACUAAAUAUAACCAUGAGACCGAUAGUAAACAAGUACCGUGAGGGAAAGUUGAAAAGAACUCUGAAUAGAGAGUUAAAUAGUACGUGAAACUGCUUAGAGGUUAAGCCCGAUGAACCUGAAUAUCCAUUAUGGAAAAUUCAUCGUUACGAUUGUGAUAAUAAUAUUAUUAUAAGAAUAGCGUGCAUUUUUUCCAUAUAAGGACAUUGUAAUCUAUUAACAUACCCAAUUUAUCAUAAGAUCAAUGGCUUAAGUUUAUUCAAAUUAUUUUGCUUGUCUUUUUAACAUAGAAUAAAUGCUGUUGAUUUGAUAAAGUGUUGAUAGAUUUAUUUGUAUAUAGUGCUUGAAUAUUUAUAUUCUAUAAUGGCAUAUUAAUCAUUGAUUUUUGUGUUUAUUAUAUGCGCUUAUAUGAUUAACAAUGCGAAAGAUUCAGGAUACCUUCGGGACCCGUCUUGAAACACGGACCAAGGAGUCUAACAUAUU